rnacentral:piRNA from 1 species
UGGGACCUUGCUGUGGACAUUUGCUC